rnacentral:RNase_P_RNA from 1 species
CCAGCAGGCCGGGCAGCCGCUCCCCGCCCCGUGCGGGGAGAGGAAAGUCCGGACUCCACCGGGCAGGGUGCCAGGUAACGCCUGGGCGGCGUGAGCCGACGGAAAGUGCAACAGAAACAUACCGCCUCCGGUCGCCCCCGGCGGCCGGCGGUAAGGGUGAAAUGGUGCGGUAAGAGCGC